GCGGGUAUAGUAUAAUGGUUAUUAUCUCUGGUUUCCAACCAGAUUAUGGGGGUUCGAUCCCCCCUACCCGCU
rnacentral:tRNA from 1 species